AAAAGAUUCGUGCAACAUUGGAAAAAGCAACAAAUACACUAGCUAAUAAUUAAUAUUCGUGAUCAAUUCCAGGCUAGUCGUCUUUCAGAAGUUCUCCAUAACAUCAAUAUCAGAGAACUYGACAACAGGAGCGAGCUCGACGAGCUGAUGUUACUGCUGAAGAACGUGAAUACUAACUACGCCUGUCUGACCGUUGGGGGAUUGGUGACUAUUACCAAAGAAAUGAUUCUAACGGUUUUUGGAACCAUGUUGGGAUAUCUGACUAUACUUAUGAGUUUCUAAUUAACGCAUGCGCAGAGCAAUUUAUAAAAAGUGAAGUCGUUUGAGGCGUAAACAAAGACAAUCCGUCCUUUUUGACAUAGUGUUUAUACCCCAGUGAAUUCUUAGUUAUAUGACAUAUUUGUUGAUUUCUAAGAAAUUGUUUCACGGUUUUGUGGCGUACACCCUAGUUAAUGCAGCACUUAGAGAGCAUAAAUUACAUGCCUAAAUAAUGACAUAACAUCUYCUAAUUUCGCAAUAUAUUCUAUCUUCGCAUUACGUAAUACUGUACAAACAAAUUAAAAUCACAGCACUACAUUUUAACGAUAAAUUGGAUCUUUGAAGAAGUUUUUUUCUAUCGAAGUACCAAUGCAUGCCGUUACGUGGACACUUAGAAAUAUCUCCAAUUAGUGCUUGAAAUAAAGCUAUUUAAAAUAGUAAACAAUAAAUGUUUGUUAGAGAUUUUUUGGAUGACAUGUACACUUAUGCGUAUAUAUGUGUA